rnacentral:rRNA from 1 species
UACGAAGGGGGCUAGCGUUGCUCGGAAUCACUGGGCGUAAAGCGCACGUAGGCGGACUCUUAAGUCGGUGGUGAAAUCCUGGAGCUCAACUCCAUAACUGCCUUCGAUACUGAGAGUCUCGAGUCCGGGAGAGGUGAGUGGAACUGCGAGUGUAGAGGUGAAAUUCGUAGAUAUUCGCAAGAACACCAGUGGCGAAGGCGGCUCACUGGCCCGGUACUGACGCUGAGGUGCGAAAGCGUGGGGAGCAAACAGG